CACAUGCAGUCGAGCGCCCCGCAAGGGGAGCGGCAGACGGGUGAGUAACGCGUGGGAACGUACCUUUUGCUACGGAAUAACUCAGGGAAACUUGUGCUAAUACCGUAUGUGCCCUUCGGGGGAAAGAUUUAUCGGCAAAGGAUCGGCCCGCGUUGGAUUAGCUAGUUGGUGAGGUAAAGGCUCACCAAGGCGACGAUCCAUAGCUGGUCUGAGAGGAUGAUCAGCCACACUGGGACUGAGACACGGCCCAGACUCCUACGGGAGGCAGCAGUGGGGAAUAUUGGACAAUGGGCGCAAGCCUGAUCCAGCCAUGCCGCGUGAGUGAUGAAGGCCCUAGGGUUGUAAAGCUCUUUCACCGGUGAAGAUAAUGACGGUAACCGGAGAAGAAGCCCCGGCUAACUUCGUGCCAGCAGCCGCGGUAAUACGAAGGGGGCUAGCGUUGUUCGGAUUUACUGGGCGUAAAGCGCACGUAGGCGGACUUUUAAGUCAGGGGUGAAAUCCCGGGGCUCAACCCCGGAACUGCCUUUGAUACUGGAAGUCUUGAGUAUGGUAGAGGUGAGUGGAAUUCCGAGUGUAGAGGUGAAAUUCGUAGAUAUUCGGAGG
rnacentral:rRNA from 1 species